ACACUUUACAAUGCGGGAAACCGCGAUAAGGGAACCCCGAGUGCCAGCAUCAAAUGUUGGCUGUCCAGAUGAUCAAAAAUCAUUUGUUAGCAAGGGCCGGGCAAGACCGGUGCCAGCCGCCGCGGUAACACCGGCGGCCCGAGUGGUAGCCGUUUUUAUUGGGUCUAAAGGGUCCGUAGCCGGCCUGAUAAGUCCUUUGGGAAAUCUGGCAGCUUAACUGUCAGGCUUYUAAGGGAUACUGUCAGGCUUGGGACCGGAAGAGGUAAGGGGUACUCCAGGGGUAGGAGUGAAAUCUUGUAAUCCCUGGGGGACCAUCUGUGGCGAAGGCGCCUUACCAGAACGGGUCCGACGGUGAGGGACGAAAGCUAGGGGAGCAAACCGGAUUAGAUACCCGGGUAGUCCUAGCUGUAAACGAUGCUCGCUAGGUGUCAGACACGGUGCGACCGUGUUUGGUGCCGCAGGGAAGCCGUUAAGCGAGCCACCUGGAAGUACGUCGCAAGGC
rnacentral:rRNA from 1 species